GAGAGAUUCAUCGUCAUUCCCCGGCGUACGGGCUGCGCGCCUCGAUGUCGACGGCCUCGGUCGUCAGGCACGACGCGCGUCCGUCUACGUCCGGGGACGGCGUGCACUUCUCUCUUAGUAAAUACAUCGCGACCCGUUCGAUGUCGGUCUAAGCGCCGUUCGGGUGCCCCACGGUCCCUUCACGGGGUCUGUGGGACCGCGACGGUGGCCGACCGGCCGUCGGACGGUAGUUCUGACGAAACGCGCACGCGUUUCAAACGCGUCCGGCCCGACGCAAGUCAACGUCGUAUCCAGCGUACCGCCUCAGUGCGGACGCAGGUGCGGCGCGUCUGUUGUCGCUGCCGUGCAGUCUCGGAC
rnacentral:rRNA from 1 species